UACCAGCACCCCGAGUGGUCGGGACGUUUAUUGGGCCUAAAGCAUCCGUAGCCGGUUCUACAAGUCUUCCGUUAAAUCCACCUGCUUAACAGAUGGGCUGCGGAAGAUAACUAUAGAGCUAGGAGGCGGGAGAGGCAAGCGGUACUCGAUGGGUAGGGGUAAAAAUCCGUUGAUCCAUUGAAGACCACCAGUGGCGAAGGCGGCUCACUGGUCCAUUACUGACGCUGAGGCGCGAAAGCGUGGGUAGCAAACGGG
rnacentral:rRNA from 1 species